rnacentral:rRNA from 1 species
UUCCGGUUGAUCCUGCCGGAGGCUACCGCUAUUGGAGUUCGAUUAAGCCAUGCGAGUCGCGAGUCUUAGGGACUCGGCGUACCGCUCAGUAACACGUGGGUAACCUGCCCUAUGCUGGGGGAUAACCUUGGGAAACUGAGAAUAAUACCCCAUAGUUCACCACGCCUGGAACGGUGGGUGGAUGAAAGCUCCGGCGGCAUAGGAUGGGCCUGCGGCGUAUCAGGUUGUAGGGGGUGUAAUGUACCCUCUAGCCAUCUACGCGUACGGGUGUUGGGAGACAUCGCCCGGAGAUGGAUUCUGAGACACGAAUCCAGACCCUACGGGGUGCAGCAGGCGCGAAAACUUGGCAAUGCGAGCAAUCGUGACCAGGGAACUCCAAGUGCAUCGGGUAAGACCGAUGCUUUUCUUGACUCUUCAAAGGUCUUGGAAUAAGGGGUGGGUAAGGACGGUGCCAGCCGCCGCGGUAAUACCGGCGCCUCAAGUGGUAGUCGCUUUUAUUGGGCCUAAAACGUCCGUAGCCGGUUUGGUACAUUCGUGGGUAAAUCAAGGCGCUCAACGUCUUGAAUUCUGCGAGCACGGCCAGACUUGGGACCGGGUGAGGUGUGGGGUACUCUCAGGGUAGGGGUAAAAUCCUGUCAUCCUGAGAGGACCACCUGUUGCGAAGGCGCCACACUAGAACGGAUCCGACGGUCAGGGACGAAGCCUAGGGGCACGAACCGGAUUAGAUACCCGGGUAGUCCUAGGUGUAAACGCUGUGGACUUGAUGUUGGGAGUGCUCCGAGCACCCUCAGUGUCGAAGCGAAGGUGAUAAGUCCACUGCCUGGGGAGUACGGUCGCAAGGCUGAAACUUAAAGGAAUUGGCGGGGGAGCACUGCAACCUGAGGAUUGUGCGGUUUAAUUGGAUUCAACGCCGG